GACGAACGCUGGCUGCGUGCUUAACACAUGCAAGUCUAACGAAGUGGCGAACGGGUGAGUAACGCGUAAUCAACCUGCCCUUCAGAGGGAGACAACAGUUGGAAACGACUGCUAAUACCGCAUACUGAAGGAGGGGAUUGCUUCUGAUUAGGUAGUUGGAGGGGUAACGGCCCACCAAGGCGAUGAUCAGUCGCCGGUCUGAGAGGAUGACCAGCCUUACUGGAACUGAGACACGGCCCAGACUCAUACGGGAGGCAGCAGUGGGGAAUCUUCCGCAAUGGACGAAAGUCUGACGGAGCAACGCCGCGUGAGUGAUGACGGCCUUCGGGUGGUAAAGCUCUGUUAAUCGGGACGCGGUACCGGAAUAGAAAGCCACGGCUAACUACGUGCCAGCAGCCGCGGUAAUUC
rnacentral:rRNA from 1 species